rnacentral:rRNA from 1 species
AUGAACGCUGGCGGCGUGCCUAAUACAUGCAAGUCGAGCGAACGGACGAGAAGCUUGCUUCUCUGAUGUUAGCGGCGGACGGGUGAGUAACACGUGGAUAACCUACCUAUAAGACUGGGAUAACUUCGGGAAACCGGAGCUAAUACCGGAUGAUAUUUUGAACCGCAUGGUUCAAAAGUGAAAGACGGUCUUGCUGUCACUUAUAGAUGGAUCCGCGCUGCAUUAGCUAGUUGGUAAGGUAACGGCUUACCAAGGCAACGAUGCAUAGCCGACCUGAGAGGGUGAUCGGCCACACUGGAACUGAGACACGGUCCAGACUCCUACGGGAGGCAGCAGUAGGGAAUCUUCCGCAAUGGGCGAAAGCCUGACGGAGCAACGCCGCGUGAGUGAUGAAGGUCUUCGGAUCGUAAAACUCUGUUAUUAGGGAAGAACAUAUGUGUAAGUAACUGUGCACAUCUUGACGGUACCUAAACAGAAAGCCACGGCUAACUACGUG